AAGGAAGUGGACUAAUAUGAAAAGAAAGAUUUCCUACCUAGGAAACAGGAGAUCAAAGGAUAGAACAAGAACCAGAGGUACGUUCUUAAAUAAGCAGAACAGGUAUGAAGCCUCCCAAAAGUGGGGAGCAGUAUGUUCCCAUUACAAUGUCAAAGGAUGAUCUAUCUGAUAAUCUAUGUGGCAUCUAUUAAUUUAACAACAACGAUGAUGAUGAUAAUAUACUGAAGUCCAAGAGGUAUUAGUCUAUCCUCUUCCCUUGAGAUAAAUACACCCUUUUAAACCAAUUUGAAUCAAUUAUAUGUACAUUACAUCUCCACAGAAAAGAAGACAACCACAGAAUAUCCUAAGUAACUGCACAUAUCAACGUAACUUAUAUUCAUACAGAAAUGAAGACUUGCUAAAGCAACAUUCUUGAAAAGAUGUCUGGGGAUGUUGCACUGCUAAACCUACCUGUCCCUGAGUAACUAUAUUGUGUCCCAGAGUUCCCUCUGAUUGAAUUCCACUGACUCAGAGUGGCAAUUGUUUUGAUAACAUACCCUUGAUCGGCUUCCUUCCUUUUCUCACUUUCCUUUUGCACUGGUGUCUCCUGUGAUCACUUCCAAAAUAAACUACUUACACUCAAUUCUUGUCCUCAGGUCUGCUGCUGGGGAAACCAAACCACAGUAACUUCAGAAAUAUAUACUUGGAAUAUGUCAUGUAUUAAUGGGUAAAGACACCGUGGAUAUGAAGGAAAUCACCUAUGGGAGAAUAUUAAGAAGAGAAGAAGGGGCUGCUGGCUGUAGUGAAAUGUAUAAAAAGGAGAGUGUGAUCCUAGUUUCUGUCUCUAACUAUGAGUUACUUGUGAUUAACUUCAAAUAUUCUCUCCAUAAGAAGAGGCCCAGAAGAAGAAGAUGAGCUUCAGUUAUUCUAGCACAACUGCUGUGAUAUUUGUAAAUAUUCAAAACCUAUAAUAAAAUGUAUAAAAGGAAACUCCAUUUGAAAUGAUUUGAAAUCUCACAUGGAAAUCUAUUUUUUUUAAAUCAGAGCUUAGUAAGAGAAAAUAACAGAACAUUGUAAUAAUUGAAUUACAAAAACAACUGAAUUUUGGAAAAUUUAUUUUCUCUCAUGUGAUGUGUGUGUAUGUGUGUGUGUGUGUGUGUGUAUCUAUUUAGCAAUGGCGUUAUUCUAUCAAAUGGGAUUAGAUUCAUUUUUGACUCCUGCUAAGCACCCUGUCCCCCCAACCCCAAGAUUAUGAAAGCGGAAGGGAAGGGGGAGAUAGGAAAUAUGACUUAUUUAAACUGUAUAAAAAUGCUGAAAUAAAAUGAACAUUCAAAACUCAUGUGAUUGAAUUUAAUCUUUCUUUUGUUCAACACAUUCAC
rnacentral:lncRNA from 10 species